AGUGAACGCUGGCGGUAGGCCUAACACAUGCAAGUCGAACGGCAGCACAGUAAGAGCUUGCUCUUACGGGUGGCGAGUGGCGGACGGGUGAGGAAUACAUCGGAAUCUACUUUUUCGUGGGGGAUAACGUAGGGAAACUUACGCUACUACCGCAUACGACCUACGGGUUAAAGCAGUGGAUCUUCGGACCUUGCGCGAUUGAAUGAGCCGAUGUCGGAUUAGCUAGUUGGCGGGGUAAAGGCCCACCAAGGCGACGAUCCGUAGCUGGUCUGAGAGGAUGAUCAGCCACACUGGAACUGAGACACGGUCCAGACUCCUACGGGAGGCAGCAGUGGGGAAUAUUGGACAAUGGGCGCAAGCCUGAUCCAGCCAUACCGCGUGGGUGAAGAAGGCCUUCGGGUUGUAAAGCCCUUUUGUUGGGAAAGAAAAGAAGCAGGUUAAUACCCCGCUGUUCUGACGGUACCCAAAGAAUAAGCACCGGCUAACUUCGUG
rnacentral:rRNA from 1 species